CGGGGUGUUUUUGAUGGCACCGUAGAAAACAUGCACCUGCGUUGGAAGUACAGGGAGUUGGUCAAGAUAAUUAUAAAGGGGAAGAGCUUUCAACAAGUCAAGCAUAUUGCAAUCUCUCUUGAGGCAGAGAGUGGUGGGGUGUUAAUUUUCUUUGGAUAAAACUUCUAAAGGCUAUGCAAUUGUCGUCUAUCGUGGGAAAAACUAUCAGUGCCCACAAACGUUGAGGCCUAAGAACCUGUUGACAAGGAGGCAGGCAUGAGCGCAUUCGAUCGAGCUUCAAAGGUGUAAGGCUCUGAAUCAUCAUAUUUCGGAUCUACGAAAAAGAAUUGAGAUUAUGAAAUAUGAACUGGAACAAAUGGAGACUAUUAAGGAUGUGGGCGAUGAAGGCCUGUACUCCUAGUUGGAUGAUGCAUAUUCUUCUGAAGAUGAUGUGGAGGAUGAAGGUGAAGAGGCAUAGCUUUUUCAUAUGACUACAUUGUUUGUAUGAUGAAAUUGAUUUUCAACCAUGUGCAGUAAGCUUUUGGAUCAAAGCGAAGCUGAGAAUAUGGUGUUAGUUGAUGGAAAAUUGAUAACCAGUAGAGGCACAUCCAUGGAGUUCUCGCUUGCGAUUGUUGAGAAGCUAUUUGGCUACGAGAAGGUAUUGGAUCUUGUUGUCAAUGAGAACUUUAAAUAGACAUGUAACUAUUAUGUUGGCAUUGUACUUUUGUGAAUGGAUUGAAAUGAAUGAUUGUAUUUGAAUGAAUGAA